UUUCGAUGAUACGCGAGGAACCUUACCUCGGGUUCGAACGUAAGAUGACUGUAGGUGAAAGCUUACAUCUCUUCGGAGCAUUUUACGAGGUGCUGCAUGGUUGUCGUCAGCUCGUGCCGUGAGGUGUCGGGUUAAGUCCCAUAACGAGCGCAACCCCUACCUUAGUUGCCAUCAGGUUAAGCUGGGGACUCUAAAGGAACUGCCUACGCAAGUAGUGAGGAAGGCGGGGAUGACGUCAAAUCAGCACGGCCCUUACGUCCAGGGCUACACACGUGCUACAAUGGCCGAUACAGAGGGCAGCUACCUGGUGACAGGAUGCAAAUCUCCAAAGUCGGUCUCAGUUCGGAUCGGAGUCUGCAACCCGACUCCGUGAAGUUGGAUUCGCUAGUAAUCGCGCAUCAGCCAUGGCGCGGUGAAUACGUUCCCGGGCCUU
rnacentral:rRNA from 1 species